GGUUAUACAUGUAAUCCAAUAUAAAUUUUUUGGUAAUAAUUAGUAUAUUAUAUUUAAGGAUUAAAAGUUUAUUUUAUUAGGUGAAAUUUUAAAAUUUUUAUAAUCUUUGUUAAAAUUAUAAGGUUGAUAAACUUUUUUUAUAGACUAGGAUUAGAUACCCUAUUAUUUUUAGUGUAAAUUUAAUUUGCCAGAUUAGUAGUAGUUAUAUUCUUGAAAAUUAAAGAAAAUGGCGGUAUUUUAGUCUAUUCAGAGGAACCUGUCCUAUAAUUGAUGAUCCACGAUUUAAUUUACUUAUUUUUAGUUUACAUAUCGCCGUAGUUUGAAUAUUUUUAUAGAAGUUUAAUGUUCAAGAUUUUUUUUAUUAAAAUAAAAUCAGGUCAAGGUGUAGCUUAUAGAUAAGAAGAGAUGGGUUACAAUAAAUUUAUUUAUACGGAUAAAAAUUUUAAAAUUUUUUUAAAGGUGGAUUUGAAGGUAAUUUUAUUUUAAAUUUUUAAGAUGAUUUAAGCUCUAAAAUAUGUACAUAU
rnacentral:rRNA from 1 species